rnacentral:rRNA from 1 species
UGGGGAAUUUUGGACAAUGGGCGCAAGCCUGAUCCAGCAAUGCCGCGUGCAGGAUGAAGGCCUUCGGGUUGUAAACUGCUUUUGUACGGAACGAAACGGUCUUUUCUAAUACAGAAGGCUAAUGACGGUACCGUAAGAAUAAGCACCGGCUAACUACGUGCCAGCAGCCGCGGUAAUACGUAGGGUGCGAGCGUUAAUCGGAAUUACUGGGCGUAAAGCGUGCGCAGGCGGUUUUGUAAGACAGAGGUGAAAUCCCCGGGCUCAAUCUGGGAGCUGCAUUUGUGACUGUAUAGCUGGUGUACGGUAGAGGGGGAUGGAAUUCCGCGUGUAGCAGUGAAAUGCGUAGAUAUGCGGAGGAACACCGAUGGCGAAGGCAGCCCCCUGGGAUAACACUGGCGCUCAUGCACGAAAGCGUGGGGAGCAAACA